rnacentral:rRNA from 1 species
AACGAACGCUGGCGGCGUGCUUAACACAUGCAAGUCGAACGCGAAAGGGGCUUCGGUCCUGAGUAGAGUGGCGCACGGGUGAGUAACGCGUAGAUAACCUGUCCUGGUGUCUGGAAUAACGUCUCGAAAGGGGCACUAAUACCGGAUAUUCUUGCUUUCUUCAAGGUAUACAAGGAAAGGUGGCCUCUGGAACAAGCUACUGCACGAGGAGGGGUCUGCGUACCAUUAGCUAGUAGGUGGGGUAAUGGCCUACCUAGGCGACGAUGGUUAGCGGGUCUGAGAGGAUGAUCCGCCACACGGGCACUGGAAUACGGGCCAGACUCCUACGGGAGGCAGCAGUGAGGAAUAUUGCGCAAUGGGGGCAACCCUGACGCAGCGACGCCGCGUGAGUGAGGAAGGCCUUCGGGUCGUAAAGCUCUGUCAAGAGGGAAGAAGUGCAUGGUGGUUAAUAUCUGUCAUGUUUGACGGUACCUCUAAAGGAAGCACCGGCUAACUCCGUGCCAGCCGCCGCGGUAA